rnacentral:misc_RNA from 1 species
UUGGUGUGUCCAGUGUACCAUAGCCUAGGAUAGAUUUUUUUCUUACCCUGCACGUGAGAGUUGAAGGUAUAAAGGGGCGAAGAUUCAGUUCUGGAGACAUUCUUUUUAGUUUAUCAUUUAGUCUUUGGUCUGAUUUUAGUUCGGUUUAUACAGUUCGGUUUUGGUUCAGUUUUGGUCGUAUUAGUACGGUUCGGUUUUGGCUUUGUAAAGGCAAAGGUAAAAAUGAAAGUACAUAUUCAUGCAUUCAUGCAUUGCAUUUGUACAUAGCAUAAGAUGUUAAAACCUUGUAUUUUUUUUUCUCUUGUAGUAAACAUAGCUUUAGAACACAUCAAGAAGACUUCUAAUCAGGUCACUUGGGUUAGGGAGGGAAAGAGAUUGGUAAGAGUUACACCUGCACAAGCUAAAAUGGAAGACACUAAGGUCAUGUUUAAACAGAUGCUUGAAGAAGCUUUGAAUGCCAAGAUGGCUGAGCUUGAAGGAAAAAUCAUGGCCAACUUUGAGAAGAAGUUAGAGAUGGGUGGGCCUAGUGAUGUUCAGGUGAAAAGGCCUGAAGAAGAGACUAGUAAAAAGAAGGCCUUUGAUGACGUUUGGGAUGAAGAAGAUUAUCUCCAAGACAAGGCCAAAAAGAAAGAAAAGGGGACAAGUGAGGAGAUUAGAGUUGUUACUGAGAUGAUGGAAAAACUUCAGGCCUGUGUGAAAAAGCAAGCUGAAUUUACUGGAAUGGGGCUGUUAGAUGCAGAUGACUUUGACAUCCAGUUGGAUGGAAAUCUACCUGAAAAAUUCAAGAUGCCUGAUUUGGCUAAAUUCGAUGGUACUGGUGACCCAAAAACCCACCUCAGGUCUUAUCUUAUAGUCAUGAAAACAACUGGUUUGACUAAGAACCAAGUCACUCAGUUCUUUUCUAUGUCACUAGAAGGGGUUGCAUCUUCAUGGUAUCAUGGGCUAGAAGCCACUGUGAGAAAAGAUUGGGAGGAGCUAGUUAGGAGAUUUGUGCAACAAUACUCCUAUAAUACAGCUUUAGAUGUUACCCUGAGAGACUUAGAGACCACUAGGCAAAAACCAAAUGAAACCUUUUCAGAGUAUCUAUUGAGAUGGAGGAAAAAGGCCAUGAAGAUGACCAAUAGGCCUGCUGAAAAGGAUCAAGUGCGAUUGGUAGUGAAAAGUCUGCAGCCUAGUUAUUAUGAGAAACUUUGUUAUUAUCCCUUGGCUACCUUUGAACAGCUAUAUGAUGCUGGGGUAUUAGUGGAGGAUGUAUUGAACAAUGAAAAGAAGAGUUAUCAGCCCAAGAGGGGAGGAUACCAGUCAGCUGGCAACAUUACUGGGGAAAACAAAGUCAUUGAGGUUCAAACCGUGUCCCGCACCCCUAGAAAGUUCUCUCAAUUCAACCAACCUCUAUCUAAAGUCUUCGAGCGACUCAAAGCUCGGGGUCUCCUCCAACCCUUGGCACCUAGACCACCACCAAACCCACUGCCACCCAAUUACAAUGCUAACCUAUAUUGCCAAUUCCAUCAAACUCAUGGCCAUGACACUGAUAGAUGUUUUCGGCUAAAACACGAAGUUCAGGACUUGAUCGAUGCUAAGAAAAUAGCUGACCCAGAAAAUCGACCCAACACACGUACCAACCCAAUGCCCAACCAUAAUGUUCCACCUCCACCAGGACUUUACAUGAUUUCCACCACCU